AUUGAACGCUGGCGGCAGGCUUAACACAUGCAAGUCGAGCGGAGAGAGGUAGCUUGCUACCGAUCUUAGCGGCGGACGGGUGAGUAAUGCUUAGGAAUCUGCCUAUUAGUGGGGGACAACAUUUCGAAAGGAAUGCUAAUACCGCAUACGUCCUACGGGAGAAAGCAGGGGAUCUUCGGACCUUGCGCUAAUAGAUGAGCCUAAGUCGGAUUAGCUAGUUGGUGGGGUAAAGGCCUACCAAGGCGACGAUCUGUAGCGGGUCUGAGAGGAUGGUCCGCAACACUGGGACUGAGACACGGCCCAGACUCCUACGGGAGGCAGCAGUGGGGAAUAUUGGACAAUGGGCGCAAGCCUGAUCCAGCCAUGCCGCGUGUGUGAAGAAGGCCUUAUGGUUGUAAAGCACUUUAAGCGAGGAGGAGGCUACUCUAGUUAAUACCUAGAGAUAGUGGACGUUACUCGCAGAAUAAGCACCGGCUAACUCUGUGCCAGCCGCCGCGGUAAAAC
rnacentral:rRNA from 1 species